UCCGAAAUGGUGUAUUGGCUAACAUUAUCGCCUCUCAAAAACACGUCGCGAUAGCCCGGGGUUCAAUUCCCUUUUUCGGAU